rnacentral:rRNA from 1 species
CCUACGGGUGGCAGCAGUGAGGAAUAUUGGUCAAUGGCCGAGAGCCUGAACCAGCCAAGUCGCGUGAGGGAAGACGGUCCUAUGGAUUGUAAACCUCUUUUGUCGGGGAGCAAAGUAACCCACGUGUGGGGUUUGGAGAGUACCUGAAGAAAAAGCAUCGGCUAACUCCGUGCCAGCAGCCGCGGUAAUACGGAGGAUGCGAGCGUUAUCCGGAUUUAUUGGGUUAAAAGGGUGCGUAGGCGGGUUAUCAAGUCAGCGGUAAAAUCGUGGAGCUCAACUCCAUCCAGCCGUUGAAACUGAUGAUCUUGAGUGGGUGAGAAGUAUGCGGAAUGCGUGGUGUAGCGGUGAAAUGCAUAGAUAUCACGCAGAACUCCGAUUGCGAAGGCAGCAUACCGGCGCCCGACUGACGCUGAAGCACGAAAGCGUGGGUAUCGAACAGGAUUAGAUACCCGAGUAGUC